GAAGCUGUUAGCAUCCGAAGGAUGGCUUUGAAAACAGUGAAGUGCUCUUGAAGGCAAGACAUAUGAGGAGUGACUGAGGUCCCCUGUUCUCUUCAGAAUAGAGAAGAGCAUACUGAAGGGAGACUUCAUGGCAGCCUACAGCUCCUCACAGGAUACAGAGGAGCAGUGAUCAUCUCUGUUUUCUGGGAGCAUUCACAGAAGUAUAGACACAGUACUGCAUUCUUUUCAGAAGAUGAGAAAGUCUUCUUUGCCAAGAACUCAAAAGAUAUGUCUGUGCUGCACCUGCAUUUCAACAUAAUGGCCUUCUCUAAAGGGCAUUUAGGAAAGUGACAACUAUGGUGAAUGGUCUGAAGGAUAAAAUGUAUGAGUAGCAGCUGAGGCUCCUUGAUUUGUUCAGUUCAGAACAGAGGAGUUUGAAGGGAGGCCUUGUGGUGACCUACAGUUUGUCAUGAGGGGACCAGAGUGGCAAUGCUGAUCUCUGCAUCGGGG
ensembl:lncRNA